ensembl:snoRNA LOC120100457 small nucleolar RNA SNORA17
CCUGUCCCUAGAGGCACUGCAGGCGUGGCUGCUGUGUCACAUGUGCAUUGGUAGGUGACAGAGAGUCAACCUAUGAACAUCCGAAUGACUAAU